AUUAACCAUUCUUAAACGCUUCACUAUUUCUAAACCAGUCCAGACCCGAUCAAAUCCCAGCAAUGCUGUUGAAACUCAGUGCGCCAGCAAUUGCUAAACCCGUCUCAACUCUAAUUAACGAAUCCUUGGUGUCUGGAUACAUACCCAAACUUUGGAAGACUGCGAGAGUAGUGCCUAUCCAUAAAAGUGGUGACACUACUUUGGUUUCUAACUAUCGCCCAAUAUCAUUGCUCCCGGUAUUGUCAAAAAUCUUAGAAAAAUGUGUCCAUAUGCAACUUUGUGAGCACUACCAACAAUUAAACUAUCUGACC